UACGGAGGGUGCAAGCGUUAUCCGGAUUCACUGGGUUUAAAGGGUGCGUAGGCGGGCAGGUAAGUCCGUGGUGAAAUCUCUGAGCUUAACUCAGAAACUGCCAUGGAUACUAUUGUCUUGAAUAUUGUGGAGGUAAGCGGGAAUAUGUCAUGUAGCGGUGAAAUGCUUAGAUAUGAACAUAGAACACCAAUUGCGAAGGCAGCUUACUACAACAGUUAUUGACGCUGAGGCACGAAAGCGUGGGGAUCAAACAGG
rnacentral:rRNA from 1 species